rnacentral:rRNA from 1 species
UACGUAGGGGGCGAGCGUUGUCCGGAUUUACUGGGCGUAAAGGGCGCGCAGGCGGCUAUCCAAGUCAGGCGUGAAAGCCCCGGGCUUAACCUGGGAGGUGCGUCUGGGACUGGGUGGCUAGAGUUCGGGAGAGGAGAGUGGAAUUCCCAGUGUAGAGGUGAAAUUCGUAGAUAUUGGGAAGAACACCGGUGGCGAAGGCGGCUCUCUGGAGAGGUUCUGACGCUGAUGCGCGAAAGCGUGGGGAGCAAACGGG